rnacentral:lncRNA from 1 species
AAUUUUUUUAUUUUUUUUUUCAACCUGGCCCACGUGACGUACAGACCCGCCACAAAUACAAAGUUCAUCUGUCCACUCGGACAGAGUCUCCUUUGUAUUCGCACGGCGUACCAACUAUACAACAGGAUCACAACCACAACCUACAAUUACCAAUCAACAACCAAUUAAUGAUAUGCAUUUUCAUACAGCGAACAAUCCUUAGAGAUGAUGCAUGCCUCUAAGCACUCCUUAGGCGCUGGAUGAUGCAAUGCACAGUACAACAAUCAUCCUAUUUAAAAGUGCUCCCCACACAGAAGCUUUUAUUUUUGAACUCUAAUUCAUUCAUCAUGAAAAACCAUUUGAAAACCUUUUUAAAACUAUUUCCCACACGGAAAUUCUAUUUUGAAAACCAACUACCUCGAGGGGUAGAAAACCACGAUAUGUAAAUACAAGAAAAUCCGAUAUCCAUAGAAUCAACAUCCAAAUCCACAAACCUCAGUUCACAUGCAUAAAUAAUGAAAGCAUCCAUAGAUCUACCAAAACCAGAUCACCACAUUCAAACAAUCAUAAAGAUUAGCUAACUGAACCAUUAUUU